GGGUUGGUAAAUCUCGUGCCAGCCCCCGCGGUCAUACGAUUAACCCAAGUUAAUAGACAUACGGCGUAAAACGUGUUAAGGAAACUACCCCCCCCAUAAAGUUAAAUCUUGGGGUAUGCUGUAGAAAGCUUUAGCCCCGACAAAAAUAAACCACGAAGGUGACUUUAAACGAUCCGACUACACGAUAGCUAAGACACAAACUGGGAUUAGAUACCCCCCUAUGCUUAGCCCUAAACCUAAGCAGCUAAAUAACGAUGCUACUCGCCAGAGUACUACUAGCAACAGCUUAAAACUCAAAGGACUUGGCGGUGCUUUAUAUCCCUCUAGAGGAGCCUGUUCUGUAAUCGAUAAACCCCGAUAAACCUCCCCAACUCUUGCUAAUACAGCCUAUAUACCGCCCUUUUCAGCAAACCCUAAAAAGGAAAUAAAGUAAGCAAAAUCAUAAAACAUAAAAACGUUAGGUCAAGGUGUAGCCUAUGAGUUGGAAAGAAAUGGGGUACCUUUUCUUGUAUAGAACAUCGACGGUAAUUUUCGUUGAACCGAAAAUAGAAGGAGGAUUUAGUAGUAAAUUAAGAACAGAGAGCUUAGUUG
rnacentral:rRNA from 1 species